CCCGUAUUUUGGCUGGUAUUGGUGUGUCAUCCUGGUCCCCCUAAUGUACGGAGGCAGAGGGAAGGGCUCCUGCCCCCUCUGCCACAUGUCUUUGGUGCCCAGCUACUGAGUCUAUCCUCAAGUGCAAAGACAGGG